rnacentral:rRNA from 1 species
AGUGAACGCUGGCGGUAGGCCUAACACAUGCAAGUCGAACGGCAGCACAGUAAGAGCUUGCUCUUACGGGUGGCGAGUGGCGGACGGGUGAUGAAUACAUCGGAAUCUACUUUUUCGUGGGGGAUAACGUAGGGAAACUUACGCUAAUACCGCAUACGACCUACGGGUGAAAGCAGGGGAUCUUCGGCCCUUGCGCGAUUGAAUGAGCCGAUGUCGGAUUAGCUAGUUGGCGGGGUAAAGGCCCACCAAGGCGACGAUCCGUAGCUGGUCUGAGAGGAUGAUCAGCCACACUGGAACUGAGACACGGUCCAGACUCCUACGGGAGGCAGCAGUGGGGAAUAUUGGACAAUGGGCGCAAGCCUGAUCCAGCCAUACCGCGUGGGUGAAGAAGGCCUUCGGGUUGUAAAGCCCUUUUGUUGGGAAAGAAAAGCAGCAGGUUAAUACCCCGCUGUUCUGACGGUACCAAAAGAAUAAGCACCGGCUAACUUCGUG